AAACUAAAAACUUUUUUAAUUUUAUUAAUAUCUACUAUUUUUCCCCCUACUGUCCCUCUUGACCCGGUGUCCCGGCAUACUCCAGUCUCCCCUACUAGGGUUUGUAAUGAACAUUUUAUUACUGGGACUCCUAACAAAGAUGAGUCUCACCCUGAUUGGGUCCGACACCCAGUGAGAAAAUUGUUGUUACACCAUUAUUGGCUAGCUAUUUCGAAGAUUCAUCAGCAACUAUAUCUGCAGUAUUGCUAAACCCUGAAGAACAGACUGCGGAAUACGGUGAUCAUAUGGAUCUUGAAACAGCAAACACUCAUUCCAAAAAUGAACCAGUUGAUGAAGUAAUAAGUCACUGGGUGUCGAUGACUGUUGAUCUUUACUUUCCACUUGCUUCCUGUUGCAUUUUCUUAAAUGAUGUUGCAAUUUAUUUUUUGCAUCUUCUUUACUUGUUAUUAUAUCAGCAUUACACUUCACGUUGGGGACCCAAUCAGGGUGAGACUCAUCUUUGUUAGGAGUCCCUGCAACGCCA